rnacentral:rRNA from 1 species
ACUGGGAUUGCCUUAGUAACGGCGAGUGAAGCGGCAAUAGCUCAAAUUUGAAAGCUGGCCCCUUUGGGGUCCGCGUUGUAAUUUGUAGAGGAUGAUUCGGCGAGGGCUCCCGUCUAAGUCCCCUGGAACGGGGCGUCAUAGAGGGUGAGAAUCCCGUAUGUGAUGGGUUGCCUUAGCCAUGUGAAUCUCCUUCGACGAGUCGAGUUGUUUGGGAAUGCAGCUCUAAAUGGGAGGUAAAUUUCUUCUAAAGCUAAAUACCGGCCAGAGACCGAUAGCGCACAAGUAGAGUGAUCGAAAGAUGAAAAGCACUUUGGAAAGAGAGUUAAAAAGUACGUGAAAUUGUUGAAAGGGAAGCGCUUGCAGCCAGACUUGUCCGCAGUUGCUCAGCCGGUCUCCUGACCGGCGUACUCUUCUGCGGCCAGGCCAGCAUCAGUUCGGGCGGUCGGAUAAAGACCUCGGGAAUGUAGCUCCUCUCGGGGAGUGUUAUAGCCCGGGGUGGAAUGCGGCCAGCCUGGACUGAGGAUCUCGCUUCGGCUAGGAUGCUGGCGUAAUGGCUGUAAGCGGCCCGUCUUGAAACACGGACCAAGGAGUCUAACAUCUAUGCGAGUGUUUGGGUGUCAAACCCAUACGCGUAAUGAAAGUGAACGGAGGUGGGAACCCUCACGGGUGCACCAUCGACCGAUCCUGAUGUCUUCGGAUGGAUUUGAGUAUGAGCAUAGCUGUUGGGACCCGAAAGAUGGUGAACUAUGCCUGAAUAGGGUGAAGCCAGAGGAAACUCUGGUGGAGGCUCGCAGCGGUUCUGACGUGCAAAUCGAUCGUCAAAUUUGGGUAUA